GACAGAGGGUGCAAACGUUGUUCGGAAUUACUGGGCGUAAAGCGCGUGUAGGCUGCUUCGCAAGUCGGAUGUGAAAGCCCUGGGCUCAACCCAGGAAGUGCAUUCGAAACUGCAGAGCUGGAGUCCUGGAGAGGAAGGCGGAAUUCUCGGUGUAGAGGUGAAAUUCGUAGAUAUCGAGAGGAACACCGGUGGCGAAGGCGGCCUUCUGGACAGUGACUGACGCUGAGACACGAAAGCGUGGGUAGCAAACAGG
rnacentral:rRNA from 1 species